rnacentral:rRNA from 1 species
AGACCCGAAACCCGGUGAUCUAGCCAUGGGCAGGUUGAAGGUUGGGUAACACUAACUGGAGGACCGAACCGACUAAUGUUGAAAAAUUAGCGGAUGACCUGUGGCUGGGGGUGAAAGGCCAAUCAAACCGGGAGAUAGCUGGUUCUCCCCGAAAGCUAUUUAGGUAGCGCCUCGUGAAUUCAUCUCCGGGGGUAGAGCACUGUUUCGGCUAGGGGGCCAUCCCGGCUUACCAACCCGAUGCAAACUGCGAAUACCGGAGAAUGUUAUCACGGGAGACACACGGCGGGUGCUAACGUCCGUCGUGAAGAGGGAAACAACCCAGACCGCCAGCUAAGGUCCCAAAGUCAUGGUUAAGUGGGAAACGAUGUGGGAAGGCCCAGACAGCCAGGAUGUUGGCUUAGAAGCAGCCAUCAUUUAAAGAAAGCGUAAUAGCUCACUGGUCGAGUCGGCCUGCGCGGAAGAUGUAACGGGGCUAAACCAUGCACCGAAGCUGCGGCAGCGAACGUAUCACUUAAAGCGAUUCAGCGGGUUACGAUUGACGGAGCGAAGCGACGUCAAAGCGUAUACAAAGUCGAGUCGGUUUAAGGAUACGUUCGUUGGGUAGGGGAGCGUUCUGUAAGCCUGUGAAGGUGGCCUGUGAGGGUUGCUGGAGGUAUCAGAAGUGCGAAUGCUGACAUAAGUAACGAUAAAGCGGGUGAAAAGCCCGCUCGCCGGAAGA